rnacentral:rRNA from 1 species
CCCCUUCGGGGGCAGUGGCAGACGGCUGAGUAACGCGUAGGAACCUGCCCCGGGGUGGGGGACAACCUCCCGAAAGGGGGGCUAAUACCGCAUACGGUCCCGCUUUGGCGGGAAGAAAGCCCUUGGGUGCCCUGGGAGGGGCCUGCGUCCGAUUAGCUGGUUGGUGGGGUAAUGGCCUACCAAGGCACCGAUCGGUAGCUGGUCUGAGAGGAUGAUCAGCCAGACUGGGACUGGGACACGGCCCAG